CGUAGUUGUUCUGCACUUCGCUGGUUUCUUAUCUAUUUUUUUAAAUAUGUUUUUUACAGUACUCAUUUUGUUUGGGUGGUAUGGGAUUGGUAUGUAGCCUUUGUUAUCUUCCGCUUUGUUUUUUUCUGUUAAUUGUUUCGUGCUUCUAUUUAAGUUUUGCUUUAUUUUUUCUUCUAUGGAUUUUGUGAGGCCUAGUUUGUAUCCGUGUUUUUUGCCUAUUUUGUAUAUGUGUUCGGGUUCCUCUUUGAGCUUCUCGUCUGUGGUGCAGUAUUUGUGUGCUCUUCUGAAAAAUGCUCGAAAUGCAGCCUUUUUGAUCGAUAGUGAGUCUGGGGACCAGUUUGGUAUGAUGACCGGUUGGUAUAGUGGUUUUCUGUGGAGCGCUGUUGUUAAGGUGUUGUUGUUGAUGGUUAUUUCGAUGUCUAGAUAUCCUAUUUUGGAUUUGC
rnacentral:lncRNA from 1 species